rnacentral:rRNA from 1 species
AUUGAACGCUGGCGGCAGGCCUAACACAUGCAAGUCGAGCGGAGCGGCGGACGGGUGAGUAAUGCCUGGGAAUCUGCCUGGUAGUGGGGGAUAACGUCCGGAAACGGGCGCUAAUACCGCAUACUAUCAGAUGAGCCUAGGUCGGAUUAGCUAGGUGUGUGGGUAAAGGCCUACCAAGGAGGCGAUCCGUAACUGGUCUGAGAGGAUGAUCCGUCACACUGGAACUGAGACACGGUCCAGACUCCUACGUGAUGCAGCAGUGGGGAAGAUUUGACAAUGGGCGAAAUCCUGAUCCAUCCAUGCCGCGUGUGUGAAGAAGGUCUUCGGAUUGUAAAGCACUUUAAGUUGGGAGGCGUUACCAACAGAAUAAGCACCGGCUAACUUCGUGCCAGCAGCCGCGGUAAUUC